CUCGUACUCCGAGCAUUUCCCCUCGUUCUGAGAGCUAUUCUGGUAGCCAUUCUCAACAAAAUCAAAUCCGCCAACCUGCAAAACGAGCAAAACGACAAUUGUCUGAAACGCCUACAGAUGCGGUCGAUGAGGCAAUUUUAAACUUGGUGGAAAAACGAACUUCGACCGACACCAUGAAUUCAGAUGAUCUUUUUUAUUUGUCUAUAUCGUGGGAUUUACAGCAUCUAAAUGUAAAAUUACGUUUAAAGACACUUGUAUUACAAAAGCGCUUUCUCAAGUUGUAGCAGAGAAA